rnacentral:lncRNA from 1 species
AAAUCUAGCAUUAGCGUGGAUGAAAAGAUGAUGAAAACAUAUUCGAAAACAUGUUUGAAGAGUCUCGGUUCGAUUUGAAAUAAAUCGGAGGUCAAACGAGCGAAAACGGAGUGAAAACCGACGAAGGCUGAAAAUGCUGAAAAAUUGGCUAAGUCUGGAACUUUGGUCCUUCGGGGACCGGUCUCUCACUGCCUGGGACCGGUCCCAGAGACUCGAAAAUGCCCAGUUCGGGCUGCUGCGAGAAAAGCAUUGUGGAGGGGCUUAAGUGCAAAAUGACACUUAUGAGAGUGUAUAGAGAGGAUCCUUUCUCUCUUUCUCUCAUUUCUCUCACUCUCCCACACUAAAACCUCUCCCUCUCUCUCUCUAGAAAGAAAGGAAGGAGAAGAAGAGGAGAAAGAAAGGGACGAAGAAGAUGAAGGAGAAGAGGCCAAGAAUAUGGAGCUUCAUCUUCAUUUUCUUCCUUGAGCCAUUGGAGCAAGCUUAGAGAGGUAAGCCUUAUUGUAAGGUACCGGACUUCUAAAAUCAUGAAGUUAUGGUUUAUGUGAGGUUAGAAAGCCAUUCGAAUGGUUCCGGUGAAGUUCGGUGAAGUUCGGAGGCAUUCGGGCGUUUCGGUGCGCAUAGGUGCGGAAACGGGACCCGAAAGGCUAUGUUGGGCCGUGAGCUAAAUCCGGCGUUAGUGCGGAUGAAAAGAUGAGGAAAAUACGCUUGAGAACAUGUUUGGAGAGUCUCGGUUCGAUUUGAGACGAAUCGGAGGUCAAACGAGCGAAAACGGACGAAAACGGGCGAAAAUGCUGAAAAUUUGGCUAAGUCCUUGAGGCUGAGUUCUGGACCUUCGGGGACCGGUCUCUCAGCCAAGGACCGGUCUCUCAGGGACCGGUCCCUCACCGCAAGGACCGGUCCCCGAACGCGAAAAACGCCCAGUUUGAGCUGAUGCGAGGUUAGAAGAGUUGGGGGGCUUAUUUGGAAAUGUUACAAUGUGAGAGGGGGUUAAGAGAGGACUCUCUCUCUCUCUUUCUCUCAUUCCCUCACUCUCCCUCAUGUUUCUCUCUCUCUCUCUCUCUAAACGAAAGAAAAAGAAGAAGGGGAGAAAGAAGAGAAGAAGAAGAAAAAGAAGAAGAAGAGGAAGGAGAAGAAGGAGAAGAAGAUCAAGAAGGAGAUCAACUCCACCUUCUUCUCUCCCUCCUUG